rnacentral:lncRNA from 1 species
ACAGAAAGUAAAGAUACUUAUUCAUUGAAAGCGGCUCUAUGCCACUUGAGAGGAUGCAACUUAUAUCGCAAAAAAAAAUUUUCACUUCCACCUUGAAAACAAGGUGGCUUCUAGAGGGUGGAUUAAUAAUGGGCCCCAUGUUUAGUUCUCAUUUAUUAGAAAGUCCGGUAAAGAGAUGUAUUAAUAAAAAAGAACAUAAACAAAAGCUAAUGAAGUCUGAAUGCGCGAGUUGGUUUGCAGGUGCCAGGCUUUUGGGCAAUUUAGAUAACAAGAUAGAUGGAUGAUGUUUUAUUGCCAUCGCCAUCUUUUACAUGGAAGAAUCAUUUUAGAUACGAGGAUGGGAAAGAGAAAAUACGAAAGAGAGGCAAUGUUUAUUAGGGUUGAGAAAGCGGGACAAUCCAAGACAGUUGGAUUGAGAGAGGUGAUGUAGUAGUCAGGUGCUUUCCCUUUGCUUUUUUAUUAUCUGUCAGCUUAACAAAAGUCUAUAUCAAGAUGAAUUUUUAGAAGAUGCGUCCAAAAACCCAAAUUGGAGUUUGGUUUUUACAACUUCCAAACAAGAAAGUGUUAAAUGGUGAAAGAACCGAUCAAACCCCAAUAAUUAGAUCAAACUCAAAAGCUAACCAGUGUAUGCCCUUAGAAGAUCAAUGCCAUUUAUCAACUCGGGAAGAACAGUAAAAAUAUUUUCACAAAUUAUCACUGCUCAUAAGUCAUAACAAACAAUGGGCAUUUCAGUAAUUUACAGCACUAUUGCUUUUCCAUAAGCUCCAAUAUGCACAAACAAUAUGAAGCAAGAGGCGUAUUUGCAAAUAAACCAAUAAUGAAACAAUUUUGUACAAUGGAGC